CUUCAUCUGGACUGUGGAUUUAGACACAAUGUUUCCUUCUGUGUUCCAGAUGUGAUCUCUACUCACUUUCCAACAAAGUAAAACACUGUCACAUCUGACAGUUUCAAUGGAGCUGUUUCAGUGGACUACUGGACAUUCUGCAAAUCUUCAGAUCUGUCUUACCUUGGAAAAAUGGAAGAAUUGAACAUACCGAGCCCUUAUUUUACUCUGAUGAUGUUGAAGAGUUUUUUACUCUAAAUCCAUAGUCCACCUUUCAGCUAAGGAAGGAAUUUUUCUUUUUGCUGAAGUUCCUACCACCUGUACCAUCUUACCCUGCACCUCUUCACUUACUUAUGCUAUGUGUGCCAUCUCCUGAGUGCUUUCCGGAAGAAGUAAAGUUGGGUGCCCUACCUUAAGGAGCUUUUCUAGACAGCAGAGAGGCACUUUUCCUGCACCUGGUUACCACACUGUAUCCUUCAAAACUUCUUGUGGACAAGCUGAUGAAUUAUCCAGAACUGCUAAAAAUCAGUGUAAACCCACUCUUGCUACUUCCUUCUGGCAUUGCGAAGGCAGAACCCCAAAGGGGAAUGUCUGAAACUGAACUCGAAAAACUUCUGCACAAUGAAAAGCACCUUACGCGACUGGCAUCAGUUUGUUUUCUUGAGUGAUCUUGAUGUAUGAAUGACUUUGAUUAAGGCAAGGGAAGAAUAAACAUAGAUUCUGUCUAUUAAAGGAGAAAAGCAGGGUGGAUUUGUAAAUAAUCUUAAAAGAAAACAAGAACUGUUUGCCACAGAAUGCACAACACGGCUUAAUCAGGAGAUGAGAAUGUGGAUGGACUCUGGUCCACAAAACACAAGGAGAAGGCAACUGGCAAUGAUCUUCUUGUAGCAGGAAUUCCAGUCAAUGGGAUCUCCAAACACAGCCCCAGUUGGGGAGGGUGCUGAGGGUGCCCCGACCUUUCCCUGCGUGGGAGUGGACACGUCCUACAUCUGCUUCGCAUGGUAACCGGCGCCUUGUGCUAAACUGGUUUUGGAAUCGAUCCUGCCACAUGGAGGAAUCAAAAGAUUAUCAACGAGAAGCAUAACAUCCAUGCAGCAGCUCACCAGGGCCUGGAGUGUCCUAUUCUCAGAAGACUACCUUCAAAGUUGGGCCAUUCAGUGAGGCUUCUACCAUCUCUCUCAUGCACCACAAAAAAUGAGUGUGACCUUUAUUCUUUGGACAACAAUAGUAAUUUGAACAGGGUAGGAGACACAGAAAGCAGCUGUUGAG
rnacentral:lncRNA from 1 species